rnacentral:rRNA from 1 species
GAUGAACGCUGGCGGCGUGCCUAAUACAUGCAAGUCGAGCGAACAGAUAAGGAGCUUGCUCCUUUGACGUUAGCGGCGGACGGGUGAGUAACACGUGGGUAACCUACCUAUAAGACUGGGAUAACUUCGGGAAACCGGAGCUAAUACCGGAUAAUAUUUCGAACCGCAUGGUUCGAUAGUGAAAGAUGGUUUUGCUAUCACUUAUAGAUGGACCCGCGCCGUAUUAGCUAGUUGGUAAGGUAACGGCUUACCAAGGCGACGAUACGUAGCCGACCUGAGAGGGUGAUCGGCCACACUGGAACUGAGACACGGUCCAGACUCCUACGGGAGGCAGCAGUAGGGAAUCUUCCGCAUUGGGCGAAAGCCUGACGGAGCAACGCCGCGUGAGUGAUGAAGGUCUUCGGAUCGUAAAACUCUGUUAUUAGGGAAGAACAUACGUGUAAGUAACUGUGCACGUCUUGACGGUACCUAAUCAGAAAGCCACGGCUAACUACGUG